UCUCCGUGACCUCUCCAUUUGGUCAAAGGGGAUCCUUAACUUUUCUAGCUUGUCAAUAUUGGUAAAUUUGUAUUCAUGAAACUUCAGUUUUUCAGUUCUAUCGGUGCUUUUUCUUGGUUUCUCCCUCCGAUCUGUACUCUUCCUCGGUGCAUCAAAACAAUCAGUACUCCGUCUAGGCUGUUCAAUUCCAUCUGUACUUCUCCUACCAGCAUUUCUUCGCAAGGGUGAUUUCUCAACUGUUGAUAUGAACUUCUUCAGAUGCCUUAGAUAUUCUGGAUACAGCUCUAAAUUACAGUGAUUUCCUCCUUUCAGCCAUAGUGGUUCAUAUUUCUCCUGGCACAAUUCCCAGAGCUGCUUUCCAUGAGAACAGUCAACUACUUCAUCAGAUGUUCCAUGGAUAACCAGCACAGGACACUUCACCAAUGGAAUCUUGUCUACGUUCUUGUAGAUAUCAAACCAGAAUGUGCG
rnacentral:misc_RNA from 1 species